AGAGAAGUGUUUGUGUUUUUUGUAAAACAAAAAUAUUGUAUAUAUGGAAAAAAUAAAGAGUUAGGUACAAGAUCACAAACUAGGAAAAGAACACAAAUACAUCAUAUAAAAAUAAUGUUUUGUUGUGUGCAAUCAUUCAAACAAUCACAAAACAUAUCAAGUUGACGAUAGGAAGAAGCAGCAAGCAGAAAAUUUCCAUUUGGGUAGAAACAUGUUUGCAUCCAAGUCCUUGAAAUCCAUGCUUGAUGUGCAUGAAGAACAGUCGAUCAAUGCACAACACCUUAGUUAAGGCAAAUCCAUCUUCUGUUUUGACAGGAAGGCUUAAUAAUAGGUAACAUUAUGGCACCAACUUCACAAACAUAGUGAAAGCACAACAAUUCAAGACCAUAAUCAUCAUUGCCAUGAACCAGAAAAAC
rnacentral:lncRNA from 1 species